GUUGUGUCACAAGCUGGAAACCAGCGUUGGGUCGUUACUCAUCUUCUUCUUCUUCUGAGCACACAAUGAAAACUUCCUUUUCCAUGGACUUAAUUCUCUCUUCGGGAAGUUUGUUAGGGAUCUGCUUGGAUGUUACCUGAAAGAAACAAUUUGGCCUCAGACGGACUGAUUGUCAGGAGGACGAGCUUUUUCUGUCCUACACCUCCACAGCUCGUCCCUCCUCCUCCUCCUCUUCUUCCACCACGGCUGAUCUUCCUCCAUCAUGGCAUCCAAACUGAACCCAAACGUCCUGUACGUGGGGGGGCCCGGGCGAGUCUCUAGGCUCGCCCCAAGCCGACUCGGAGCAGACUCAGAUUGCUGGAGAAGCAGGAGAAGAAUCAUCAGACAGUGACGGAGAACAAGAAGAGACGUCGCACAAGCUGAUACGGAAGGUGUCAACCUCCGGACAGAUCAGGGCAAAGGUAAGAGCGACAGUGGAGUGAUGUCUGAUCUCUGUGUUUGAGAAUAGUCUUUAAUAGAUGGGAAUGAUGGAUGCUGUAUGUUGGAGAUGUUGAAAUAA
rnacentral:lncRNA from 1 species